AACGAACGCUGGCGGCAUGCCUAACACAUGCAAGUCGAACGAUUGCCUUCGGGUGAUAGUGGCGCACGGGUGCGUAACGCGUGGGAAUCUGCCCUUAGGUUCGGAAUAACAGCUGGAAACGGCUGCUAAUACCGGAUGAUAUCGCGAGAUCAAAGAUUUAUCGCCUGAGGAUGAGCCCGCGUUGGAUUAGGUAGUUGGUGGGGUAAAGGCCUACCAAGCCGACGAUCCAUAGCUGGUCUGAGAGGAUGAUCAGCCACACUGGGACUGAGACACGGCCCAGACUCCUACGGGAGGCAGCAGUUGGGAAUAUUGGACAAUGGGCGCAAGCCUGAUCCAGCAAUGCCGCGUGAGUGAUGAAGGCCCUAGGGUUGUAAAGCUCUUUUACCCGGGAAGAUAAUGACUGUACCGGGAGAAUAAGCCCCGGCUAACUCCGUG
rnacentral:rRNA from 1 species